CCUGUCUGCCACAGACCUGCCUGUUGUCGGCUGACAUCAGAAGUGGUGGUCUGAGCCAUUCACAAUGCUUCCCCGUAGGAUUGGCUGAGACUGACAAAGGGGCAGAGCCAGCAUGAUUCAAACACAGCCCUGGCCAAUCAGCAUCUCCGCAUAGAGAUGAAUUAAAUCAAUUAAUCUCUAUGAGGAAAGUUCAGUGUCUGCAUGCAGAGGAAGGAGAUACGGACUGUUUGUGACCCAGGAAGGAUC